CCUACGGGUGGCACCAGUAGGGAAUCUUCGGCAAUGGACGAAAGUCUGACCGAGCAACGCCGCGUGAGUGAAGAAGGUUUUCGGAUCGUAAAACUCUGUUGUUAGUGAAGAACAAGUAGGAGAGUAACUGCUCUUACCUUGACGGUAUCUAACCAGAAAGCCACGGCUAACUACGUGCCAGCAGCCGCGGUAAUACGUAGGUGGCAAGCGUUGUCCGGAUUUAUUGGGCGUAAAGCGAGCGCAGGCGGUCUUUUAAGUCUGAUGUGAAAGCCCUCGGCUCAACCGAGGAAGGUCAUUGGAAACUGGAGGACUUGAGUGCAGAAGAGGAGAGUGGAAUUCCAUGUGUAGCGGUGAAAUGCGUAGAUAUAUGGAGGAACACCAGUGGCGAAGGCGACUCUCUGGUCUGUAACUGACGCUGAGGCUCGAAAGCGUGGGGAGCAAACAGGAUUAGAUACCCUCGUAGUC
rnacentral:rRNA from 1 species